UGCGUGCGUGGGCGGCGCGCGGCGCGCGGGCCGUCCUCUAGCACACGCGGCCUUGGAGGCGGGUGUCUGACCCUUGGUCUACCGCUUGCUGAGGCCCCUUGCCCCUCGGGUCAGAGGCGCCUUUGCGCUCCGGUUCUUAGCCUUCUCUUGGUGCCCCGGCGACAGAAAGAUGACACAGAGACAUAGAGAGGGAAAGGCCCUGAGACAUGGAGAAGUCGAGACCCAGUUACCACCAAGAAGUGAAGUCCCAGACACAUGUACCUGGAGAACCCAUCCCAGCUGAGGGACCAGUCAUUGAGGGAAGAAGCCACCUAGGUUGUCCCAGCCAUCUGAGCUGUUCCUCAUUACCUGGAACAGAGCAAAACCGAGGCCAGGCUGUGAAGUUUCACAUAAUUUUACGAAUACUCAGAGUCCUUCCAUGGAAAGAUGGGGACUAAUUCCCCCAACUCCUUGAAUCUGGGCUGGUCUUAGUGUUUGUUGCACCAAUAGACUGUGGUGGAAGUGAAAUACUGAAACUUCUGAGUCAAGGUCCAAGAAGUUUUGCUGCUUCUUUCUGAGUGCCUUCGAACACUUGCUCUGAGGAAAUCCAGCUGCCAUAAAAGAAGCCCAGCUAAUCUGAUACUGCCAUAUUGCAAGGAAGCAGCCGCAGCCAUUCCGGACCCUAGCCAUUCGGUUCUUCCCAGUUAAGACCCCAGACACUAAUGAAGCAGAGGGGGUGCCACCUCUGCUAACCCACCCAAACCACGGAUACAUGAACAAAGUAAAUAAAUGUACUUCUCUAAG